rnacentral:rRNA from 1 species
AUUGAACGCUGGCGGCAGGCUUAACACAUGCAAGUCGAACGGUGAACGAGGGAGCUUGCUCCCUCCGGAUCAGUGGCGAACGGGUGAGUAACACGUGAGCAAUCUGCCCCGAACUCUGGGAUAAGCGCUGGAAACGGCGUCUAAUACCGGAUACGACGCGCGAAGGCAUCUUCUGCGCGUGGAAAGAAUUUCGGUUCGGGAUGAGCUCGCGGCCUAUCAGCUAGUUGGUGAGGUAACGGCUCACCAAGGCGACGACGGGUAGCCGGCCUGAGAGGGUGACCGGCCACACUGGGACUGAGACACGGCCCAGACUCCUACGGGAGGUAGCAGUGGGGAAUAUUGCACAAUGGGCGCAAGCCUGAUGCAGCAACGCCGCGUGAGGGACGACGGCCUUCGGGUUGUAAACCUCUUUUAGUAGGGAAGAAGCGAAAGUGACGGUACCUGCAGAAAAAGCACCGGCUAACUACGUGCCAGCAGCCGCCGCAGUAA